UUAGAAACAUUGUUUGCAGGCUCAGAUGUUGAUGACAUGGAGCACGACGAAUUGGAAGACUCAAGUCAAAAUAACUAUGACGAUCAUGAUCCAUUUGACUACGUGUACUCAAACCUCCCAGCCAACACACACAUCCUGAAGCACGCCACAAACUGCGACCACUGCAAGGGAUUCUGCUGUUGCAGUGGGCAAAUCGAGCUGAAGGAACCGGAGCCCAUCCCGGAGCUCAUGAGGCUUUCGUCUAGCACUGAUGCGGACUCUAGGCAUUUUCGGGAG
rnacentral:rRNA from 1 species